ensembl:lncRNA
GCGGGUGCUUUGUUAUAAUGAUAAUAGCAAUGAUCCAAAUAAACACAUGCCUAGCAAGGGUUAAAAUGGUCAUUCAGUCAUUCAUCACUACUAACCUGUAGUGGCCUGAGCAAACGUCUCUUUCCACAGUGGAUGAGAGGGCAAGAUGAUUUUGGUCUGUGAAUCCCCUUUUGUCUUUAUGUGCCAGAAGAACAGAUGCUCUCAGUAAGGGGCAUUCUCAACUAUUUACUGUCUACAGUAAUCUAUUUGUUUCUGCUUACAGAAAGAGUGUGUGGCUCUCUAGGUUCCCUGUUUCUUGGAGCUACAGAUGAAUGAGUAAGCUUGCACAGUAUGUAAUCCCAAGGAGCAGUAUGAUAGGGAACAAGUAAGAGAAUAUUUGAGAGAUGGAAGAUGUGAUCCAAAGGAAUGCCUGCUUUGUACAAAGGCCUAGAGAAGAGUUGCAUGGGAUGAAAACACACCUGCUUCAUAACAGAGCACUUGCAUUUGCCAGACUACUAUUUCAGGGUCUGCCUUGCCUGUAGCUUUCUGCAGAAAAAUCUGUUUGUGCCAGAAUUCCACUCCUGAGCCAGGAGAUAGUGAUGAAGGAAGUCAGGAAGGGUACAGUGCACAAUUCCAGCAUGUCAUGGGAAUGUUUCCUUCUGCUUGUUUGGUCUGACAGAGAUGAUGGGAACCACAGGAGCAGGAGAAGCACUGUGACACACCAGGAUUAUUUUCCUUUCUAUACCAGUGCUUGUUGUUAUUCUCCAUUUCCAGCCUCACAGAACCUGUUCUAGAGCUGAAAUGGACCCUGUGGUGUAUUUACUGCUUUUUCAUUUUGGCCUUUGGUAUUUUUCCAAAGAAGCAGUAAUGGGGAGAGUUUGGGUUGAAUCAUGGAUGUCCCUUGGAUACUUCUACUGCUUCCAAAUGGAGCACCUCCAGGAAACAUACACCUAUGAACUGUUGUUUUCCAUAGGUUUUUCAAGAGCAGCAUGGAGAUGUGCAUUGAUUUUGAUGGCAGGCAGUGUACAACAGGCUGCUCCUUAACCUGCCCACUGCUUGUUCUCUGCAGGAUACCGGUCUGUGGUGAGAAUUUUACCACCAAAGGAAUUAGGAAGACUUGUAGUUUGUUCUUGUCCAGGUUUGGGGCACAGAGGUUGCUACACCUGUUGGUUUUUAUUAGUUAAAUGUAUGUUGAAGUCUACAAAUAAAUGCUACGACCCAGGUGGAACAGAUGAGAUGUGACUAAGUUCUUGGAUGAUUGAUAAUGAGCAGAGACUGGAAAAUCAAUUGUGUUAAUUCCUGGCUUGUCACCAGGACGGAGAAUUAAUGAGAAAAUCCAUCUAACGUAAUGGUAUUUACAUAUUAUACAGAAUGUGAUAAAAUUGUCCUCAGGUGCUACUUGGCAUCACAAUUAUAGGAUUACUGUAGACGCAGAGGCAGGAACAGAAAUCUGCAAGCACAAAAACUCCUUCACAAACAACAAACAAGUGACACUGACCAAUGAGGAGGGCUGAAGAAAAAGCCAGGAAAGCAAGGAAGGCUGUCGGACUCCAGCAGAGAUCUCUGAAGCUCUCGGUAAUUCCUCUGCAGCACAGAGACCAUGCAAAUGUGUUUGAAGGAGAGGGGAACGCUGGUCUUGAUCAGGAGUGACAGAAAAGCAAAUCUGUCUCCUCAGCUGCCUCCUGUCCGCCAGGAGUUAAUCCAGCUGAGACAGCGUCAGUAUAAUUGAUGGUAUAUUGCUAUAUAAGUCAUCCAUAAACUCUGUGUGCUCAGAACACCUGCAUCCCUCAUGUUUUUCUUGUCAGCCCUCAUCUCCUUGCUGUUGUGCUUCAUAUACCCUCCUGUCCUCCAGUCUACAGGGAGAAUGUCUAUGUCUGUGUCUGUGUUACAAGGCUGAGCAGCCAUGUUCCUGGACCUUGAAGAGCACUCAGGCAUCAGCCUCUUCAAGUUGUUGCCUGGAGGGAUUAUGCCUUUGAAGAUAUGGCAUGAAGAGAUAGAAGCUUGAACUGAAAAACAAUCACAGCUUGUGCAUUUUUGUCCUUAUACAACUCUGUGAAAUGUGACAGUGCCAAGAAGUUGCAUCUGGUUUAUACCAAGGAAGCUAAAGAGGUGACUUGAUCACCGCCUUCAAGUACAAGCUUUGUCUGCAGGGGGGCUGUCUGUUUCUAAUACUUGGUGCUGCAGAUUGGCAGGUGAGGUGAUAUGGAAGGGAAUGCUCAGCAGCCCUACCCAGCCACAACUAGAGGAGUCAGAACUGAACAGCUCCAGAAGCCAACUGCUCUGUGGUCUUAUCCACUGAGAUGUGCCACGGUCAGCUUGUUCUCCCUCUGCCUCAGAUCUACUGCAAAUGGAACCAUUUGGAAUGCAGCCUAAAUCCCACUGGAGCAAUUGGGAUGCAGAUGGCAAGGAAAGCUGAAGGGCAUUUGGAUACAUGCUGUCCCAUGGAUGUCUAAAUGGGAGAGAAGGUCUUCUAGAAGCACAUGAAGGACCCUAGAGGAGACAAGCGUUGGGAAAAAAAAUGUGUCAGAACAUCUGAAAUGCCUCCUUCAUUGUCCCAGCUUUGGGAGCACUUACUUAACCUAUAUCAGCAUGACUCAAAACAACAUCAAUGUUUGUCUCUGGAGUGAAAAGAAAUAAUGUGCUUUGUUCAGCUGCUUCCUAUUCAAAGAGAAAUCACACUGGGAAGCAGAAGUUGCUGUAAAGGGGAGAGGUUCUGCAACUGACUCACUGGAAAAGGGGGAGAACAGUGCACAAAAGAACCUGCGGAUAUCCUGGUGGAUUUCAGUUUCCAGCAGCCCCAGGAGAGCUCUGCAAUGAAGAUGACAUUUCCAUACAAUUGACAUUUCCUGGCUGGAGCAGUCCUCUGAUUUGCAGCUGCUUGUGUG